rnacentral:rRNA from 1 species
AACGAACGCUGGCGGCAUGCCUAACACAUGCAAGUCGAACGAGACCUUCGGGUCUAGUGGCGCACGGGUGCGUAACGCGUGGGAACCCGCCUUUAGGUUCGGAAUAACUCAGAGAAAUUUGAGCUAAUACCGGAUGAUGUCUUCGGACCAAAGAUUUAUCGCCUUUAGAUGGGCCCGCGUUGGAUUAGCUAGUUGGUGGGGUAAAGGCCUACCAAGGCGACGAUCCAUAGCUGGUCUGAGAGGAUGAUCAGCCACACUGGGACUGAGACACGGCCCAGACUCCUACGGGAGGCAGCAGUGGGGAAUAUUGGACAAUGGGCGAAAGCCUGAUCCAGCAAUGCCGCGUGAGUGAUGAAGGCCUUAGGGUUGUAAAGCUCUUUUACCCGAGAUGAUAAUGACAGUAUCGGGAGAAUAAGCUCCGGCUAACUCCGUG